UUACCUACUCUUGGAAUUGAAUAUUUGAGGAAUGAUAAUUUUGAAGGACAUUAGAAAUCCGUAGUUUCUCUAAUACGUUGUAGAGAAUAGCGUACUUUCUAUUAGGCCCUAGAUGAUUUUGAAGAGUAUGGAUUAUUUAUAUUAAAUUGCUGCGUAGUUUCUUCUUGAUGUGUCAUAGGUUCCUAUGGAGAUUGAUAAAAAUAUUUAAGAUU